GCAAGUCGAGCGGCAGCGGGAUCUAGCUUGCUAGAUUGCCGGCGAGCGGCGGACGGGUGAGUAACGCGUAGGAAUCUACCUAGUAGUGGGGGACAACUGGUGGAAACGCCAGCUAAUACCGCAUACGCCCUACGGGGGAAAGGAGGGGAUCUUCGGACCUUUCGCUAUUAGAUGAGCCUGCGUCGGAUUAGCUUGUUGGUGAGGUAAAGGCUCACCAAGGCAACGAUCCGUAGCUGGUCUGAGAGGAUGAUC
rnacentral:rRNA from 1 species